UGGAAAUAAAAGGCUAUGAUUAUACUUGCCUACCAUCAGACAUCUACCUCGCUACUGUUCCUGAAUUGCCAUGGAAAGCAGUGUUAUGGGAGGAUGUGAAAGAGCAACUAAAGAGGCAAUAUUUUGUACUAUGCCCUUUGUUAUUCCACACUUCCUGCACACUCCUAAACAUUUCUUACUGCUCUUGCUGCCACCUGAGUUUGGCAAUAAAGCAAGGGAACCACCGCCUCUCUGACCCCACACAAGGCCCCUGCACCACUGCAGGAUGGGAUCCAUGUGCACCAGCUCCUCACCCCGGACACUGCCUCACAGCUCCCACCCUCGCCAGGGUGCCCACAGCAGCUCUCAGCCACCUCCGCCAGGCUGCCCAGAGCAGCCCUGGGCCACAGCAGAUUUUAAACAGGCUAAUUACAGCCACUCGGGUCAGCCGAGAGCAGCCAUGUGCUUUGCCAGGGGAGAUCUCAUCUGCAAGAGCCAGCUGAGCCCAGUCCUGGCAGACACUGAGCACCACGGAUGCCCAGCAUCAAAGCUGGAGACACAUGUGGGAGAAGUUGUGCAACCACAUGCAAGGCUGCAAUUUCUGAUGGCCAUGAACACAGAUCUGUGUCUUAUGCAUUCACAGAGCAUCUUCACAUCCUCUUCACUACUCCAUGACUUCUUGUAUUAG
ensembl:lncRNA